UCCAGCUCUUGCUCAGUAAGACCAGUGUUGGCCUCCUCUACUCUGGCUGCAGAUUGGCCUCGCUUAGGCUUGAGAAUCAUGGAGCAGCCACUGGAGUGGACAUUAUCUGCACCUUCCACUCUGACCUCACAGGCCCAAGGCUGGACAGAGAGCGGCUCUACUGGGAGCUGAGCCAUGAGACUCAUGGUAUCACCCAGCUGGGUUCUUUCACCCUGGAUAGGGACAGCCUUCACAUCAAUGGUUACACCUAUGGAGCCACAGUCUUGACUACCACCACUGUGGAAGUUAAUGAGGAGCAAUUUACACUUAAUUUCACCAUCAACAACCUGCGCUACUCAGCG